UAGGGUUGUUUUAUCGCAGGAACUAAUGCAAGUUUGGCCGAAUUUUACCGAAAACGGCCAACCCGAGGCGGAUCGCCACCGUGAGCGGCAGUGCUGUCGUCGGAGCACGACGGAGCUGCCGUGCCAAAAUUUCGAUAUUAGCCGAAAAGGGGCCCUGGGUCUGAUUUGGGAUUUUUUGGGACACGUGUAGGUACCGGUAGUGCGUUUCAGUUUCCAGGAGAAAAUUCAAGGAAUUUAGGGACAACCCGUAGGCGCACUGUAGAGCCGAUUUCAGACCCCGAAACAAGUAAGGAUCUCUCACCCUAUUUCCUAUCAUGACAUUAAAGCCUAAUAAACGAUAAAAAGGUAUUUUAUGACUUUAUAGAUAUGUAUAAUUGAUUGAGGUUACCAAUGGAGCCCAAAUAUGAUAUAUUGUUGGUUAGUUGUUGUUUGAUCUAUUUUUUCAGUAUUAAAUGCAGUAUGGUAUUUGAUGUAUUUAUUUUAUGGUUUCGUUUGCAUGAAUUGUGGUUUCUUUUA
rnacentral:lncRNA from 1 species